ACCUUCGGGGGACGAUAACGGCGUCGAGCGGCGGACGGGUGAGUAAUGCCUAGGAAAUUGCCCUGAUGUGGGGGAUAACCAUUGGAAACGAUGGCUAAUACCGCAUAAUACCUUCGGGUCAAAGAGGGGGACCUUCGGGCCUCUCGCGUCAGGAUAUGCCUAGGUGGGAUUAGCUAGUUGGUGAGGUAAUGGCUCACCAAGGCGACGAUCCCUAGCUGGUCUGAGAGGAUGAUCAGCCACACUGGAACUGAGACACGGUCCAGACUCCUACGGGAGGCAGCAGUGGGGAAUAUUGCACAAUGGGCGCAAGCCUGAUGCAGCCAUGCCGCGUGUGUGAAGAAGGCCUUCGGGUUGUAAAGCACUUUCAGUCGUGAGGAAGGUAGUGUAGUUAAUAGCUGCAUUAUUUGACGUUAGCGACAGAAGAAGCACCGGCUAACUCCGUGCCAGCAGCCGCGGUAAUACGGAGGGUGCGAGCGUUAAUCGGAAUUACUGGGCGUAAAGCGCAUGCAGGUGGUUUGUUAAGUCAGAUGUGAAAGCCCGGGGCUCAACCUCGGAAUAGCAUUUGAAACUGGCAGACUAGAGUACUGUAGAGGGGGGUAGA
rnacentral:rRNA from 1 species